GGAAGGUCACAUGACACCUGGGCACAGAAGCCGAAAGACAAUCUAUUCCUGACUCCAACUCCCAGCUGCACAGAAAGGAAAAGAAAACACCUGACUGCAGCUGAGAACGGGUCUCUCCAGGUCUUAACAACCCAUCUCGCUGUUUAGCGAAGUUCCACGCUGGAGGGAGUAGCGGGUGGGCAUGCCCCGCCCCCCUGGGGUGCUGGAGACCCGGGACUUUGCAGAAACAGCCCCCGAGGGGCAAGGGCGCCUGGUCGGCGGAUCUGUUCACUGUCGUCUCAGUGCCAGCUCGGCUCUGCGUCUUGGGACCCAGAGUGAAGACACCGUGGUUCCCGCCCUCUUACAGUCCGAGCGUCAUUUUCUGGGCGGGGUCACCCAGGCCCCACGAGGGGAAGGGGCUGGCCCCAGCUCCGUCAGUGAUCCGGAGGCAGCCAGGGCUAGUGGGAGGAGAGCUAUACGGCCUUGACUUCUCGGGCCCGCGGUUCAGGACCCUGACGAUGGCUGUAGCAGGCAUGCUAGGUACUCCUCACCCUCGGAGCUCCAUCCAAGUUCCUCCUAUGUGUUGGUCUGCUUCAUCCCCACCACACCCACAUGAGGUAGCCGGGGCCCUACUGCCAAAAGAAUGGAUCCGGCUGCCCAGAAGUUGGCAGGAGGGAGAGAGCAAUGGACAGGGAGGGAUGAUGGCUCAGCUGACCUCUUCCCACCAGAGAGGAAUCACAGGCCACCGCAGCUGAGCCCCUGACCCACUGGGUGACCUUCCUCCCGGCCUUACCAAGAUCAGCUGGGGCGGCGAUGAUGACUUUAGCACCUGACACCCCAGGUUUUCUAAGGAGGAAAAUGCCUUGAAGUGGGUAGGGCUUGAGGAAAGGACCAGAAAAGGGAGAGCUGGCAUCACCCAGACGACUGUGACACCCCGGCCCCUCUGGAACGGUCCCUACCUCUGUGCCACCUAACUGUGCUUUGGUUAAAAUGAACUCUCAGGUCCCAGACGCCGAGGCAGCAAAGGAGAUCCAGCUACUGGCCCGCCAGUGGCCCCCCCACUUCGUCCUUCAUCCCCGUGGCCUGUGUCAAUCCCACCCAAAGGGGUCCCGCCAGGCUGAGCACUCCAGGCAGGGGCAUCUCCCCUGGAGGAGAAGGGCUGACAGUCGGUCCAGAAGGGACAUCACAUCCAUUUGACCUUCUCCUGCUCCCAAGGCACUGGAGAGGACCCCGCCAUCCGGUAAAACCUCUGACGGUCACGGAUAAAACAGAGGUCUGCCUGUUAGCUGUGUGACCUUGGGGAAGUGGCCUGACCUCUCUCAGCUUGUAUCUUUAUCUAUAAAGUGGGGAAAACAUGCCUUCCUCCCAGGUCAGUCACCAACUUAAGGGUGGUGCUCACGAGUGAAGCAAGUGCAGUGGGCGCUCAGUAAACGGGAGUUCUCAUCAUUUCAUGGUUGUUUAAAAAUGGACCUGCAGCCUGUGCAGAAUUAAAAGCCAUCUCAUCUUUCUGUACUGUUUCCACAAUAUUACGCUGAUGACAUCAGGGGAUUACGGGUCUGAAUCUGGCAUUUCGGUCUAAGUCCUGGCUUCCGGCCCUGGUGUGACCUUGGGUGAGUGAUUUUUUACCCCUCAGAGCCUGGGUUUCCUCCUCUAUAAAAGAGGACGAUCAUAAUCCCACCUCCUCGUGGGGUUUUUUAUGCAAGUUUCAUGAAAUGAUGCCUGUGAGCGCUCAGCUUGGUGUCUGUCAGUUGGCCAGGCACUCCAUCACUGUCUGGGAUUCUUGUUUCUGUUAUUACUAGACUGGGACCCCACAGGAUACAAAGUGAGUGGUUUCCUGGACCCUGGCACCCUCAGAGCAACCCUGUGAGGCUAGGAUUUUCACCUUCAUGCCGAAGAGGAAACCAAGGCUCAGCAGGUCUCUGGUCUGGAGGUCCGUAGGGAGCAGGGGCCAUGAGGGGUGGUGCAGGGCCUGUCUGCUCUCCUGGGGUACAGCUGCGGGAAGGCAGAGGACGUCUCUCUCCUGCUGCCCGGGCGGGCCCAGCAUCCCACCCUCUGGCUCCUGCACACACCAUCUCCUCCAGACCCAGAGGGCAGAUCCUCUCCUGAGACUUCCCGGGGCGGGCAGAGAAGGGUCCAGGAGCCCCACAGUCACGUGGCCUCGAGUGACCUCCUCUUCUCGGGGCCUUGGUUUCUCCAUCUGAGUGUGACUCACACCGGAAGAGUGAACCCUGACCCCACCACUGACCCGGACGGGGCUUGAACACAUCACUUCCCUCUUCUUAGCUUCCGUGUCUUUGCCUACAAACAGGAGCCAACGGAUGGGUGUGAUAAGGGGGUGUUAAGUGAAAAAACGAGAGUAAAGCUGUA
ensembl:lncRNA